rnacentral:rRNA from 1 species
UAGGGAAUCUUCCACAAUGGACGCAAGUCUGAUGGAGCAACGCCGCGUGAGUGAAGAAGGUUUUCGGAUCGUAAAGCUCUGUUGUUGGUGAAGAAGGAUAGAGGUAGUAACUGGCCUUUAUUUGACGGUAAUCAACCAGAAAGUCACGGCUAACUACGUGCCAGCAGCCGCGGUAAUACGUAGGUGGCAAGCGUUGUCCGGAUUUAUUGGGCGUAAAGCGAGCGCAGGCGGAAGAAUAAGUCUGAUGUGAAAGCCCUCGGCUUAACCGAGGAACUGCAUCGGAAACUGUUUUUCUUGAGUGCAGAAUAGGAGAGUGGAAUUCCAUGUGUAGCGGUGGAAUGCGUAGAUAUAUGGAAGAACACCAGUGGCGAAGGCGACUCUCUGGUCUGCAACUGACGCUGAGGCUCGAAAGCAUGGGUAGCGAACAGG